UACGAAGGGGGCUAGCGUUGUUCGGAAUUACUGGGCGUAAAGCGCACGUAGGCGGAUAUUUAAGUCAGGGGUGAAAUCCCAGAGCUCAACUCUGGAACUGCCUUUGAUACUGGGUAUCUUGAGUAUGGAAGAGGUAAGUGGAAUUGCGAGUGUAGAGGUGAAAUUCGUAGAUAUUCGCAGGAACACCAGUGGCGAAGGCGGCUUACUGGUCCAUAACUGACGCUGAGGUGCGAAAGCGUGGGGAGCAAAC
rnacentral:rRNA from 1 species